rnacentral:misc_RNA from 1 species
ACCUUGACUCGCAAGAUCAUGCAGGUAUAUUUUUUCUUCUAUGUCAUCCAUAUGAAUAUUGGUUACUAUCUGUUCUGCUGAUAAUUAAUGGUCUAGUUUAUGCAAACUUGCUGUUUGUUUAUGUUAAAUGGGAAUAUGAUGUGCAAUCUGAAUAUGAAGAAAUUGGAAGAAAGGGCAAAUUAAUUCUCAUAAGUUCUCUUAAGUUAUAGCUUAUAUUUAUCCUGUGAUUCAGCAAUUUUCUGGUAAUCAAACUCAUUAUUUCUGUAAAAAUGAGUCUAUGAAUGUGGAACUUUUCACAAGAAGAGCUCU